rnacentral:rRNA from 1 species
GUGGGGAAUCUUGGACAAUGGGCGCAAGCCUGAUCCAGCCAUGCCGCGUGGAUGAUGAAGGCCCUAGGGUUGUAAAAUCCUUUCGUUGGGGACGAUAAUGACGGUACCCAAAGAAGAAGCUCCGGCUAACUUCGUGCCAGCAGCCGCGGUAAUACGAAGGGGGCUAGCGUUGUUCGGAUUUACUGGGCGUAAAGCGCGUGUAGGCGGGUCGUUAAGUUGGGGGUGAAAUCCCGGAGCUCAACUCCGGAACUGCCUUCAAAACUGGCGACCUGGACUCAAGUAGAGGCAAGUGGAAUUGCGAGUGUAGAGGUGAAAUUCGUAGAUAUUCGCAGGAACACCAGUGGCGAAGGCGACUUGCUGGACUUGUAGUGACGCUGAGACGCGAAAGCGUGGGGAGCAAACAGGAUUAGAUACCCGAGUAGUCC